GUAGAGAUGGCUCAGUGGUUAAGAGCACUGGCUGCUCUUCCAGAGGACCCGGGUUCAAUUCCCAGCACCCACA
rfam:Neotoma lepida isolate 417 scaffold_39889, whole genome shotgun sequence.